rnacentral:rRNA from 1 species
GAUGAACGCUGGCGGCGUGCCUAAUACAUGCAAGUCGAGCGAACGGACGAGAAGCUUGCUUCUCUGAUGUUAGCGGCGGACGGGUGAGUAACACGUGGAUAACCUACCUAUAAGACUGGGAUAACUUCGGGAAACCGGAGCUAAUACCGGAUAAUAUUUUGAACCGCAUGGUUCAAAAGUGAAAGACGGUCUUGCUGUCACUUAUAGAUGGAUCCGCGCUGCAUUAGCUAGUUGGUAAGGUAACGGCUUACCAAGGCAACGAUGCAUAGCCGACCUGAGAGGGUGAUCGGCCACACUGGAACUGAGACACGGUCCAGACUCCUACGGGAGGCAGCGGUAGGGAAUCUUCCGCAAUGGGCGAAAGCCUGACGGAGCAACGCCGCGUGAGUGAUGAAGGUCUUCGGAUCGUAAAACUCUGUUAUUAGGGAAGAACAUAUGUGUAAGUAACUGUGCACAUCUUGACGGUACCUAAUCAGAAAGCCACGGCUAACUACGUGCCAGCAGCCGCGGUAAUACGUAGGUGGCAAGCGUUAUCCGGAAUUAUUGGGCGUAAAGCGCGCGUAGCGGUUUUUUAAGUCUGAUGUGAAAGCCCACGGCUCAACCGUGGAGGGUCAUUGGAAACUGGAAAACUUGAGUGCAGAAGAGGAAAGUGGAAUUCCAUGUGUAGCGGUGAAAUGCGCAGAGAUAUGGAGGAACACCAGUGGCGAAGGCGACUUUCUGGUCUGUAACUGACGCUGAUGUGCGAAAGCGUGGGGAUCAAACAGGAUUAGAUACCCUGGUAGUCCACGCCGUAAACGAUGAGUGCUAAGUGUUGGGGAGUUUCCGCCCCUUAGUGCCGCAGCUAACGCAUUAAGCACUCCGCCUGGGGAGUACGACCGCAAGGUUGAAACUCAAAGGAAUUGACGGGGACCCGCACAAGCGGUGGAGCAUGUGGUUUAAUUCGAAGCAACGCGAAGAACCUUACCAAAUCUUGACAUCCUUUGACAACUCUAGAGAUAGAGCCUUCCCCUUCGGGGGACAAAGUGACAGGUGGUGCAUGGUUGUCGUCAGCUCGUGUCGUGAGAUGUUGGGUUAAGUCCCGCAACGAGCGCAACCCUUAAGCUUAGUUGCCAUCAUUAAGUUGGGCACUCUAAGUUGACUGCCGGUGACAAACCGGAGGAAGGUGGGGAUGACGUCAAAUCAUCAUGCCCCUUAUGAUUUGGGCUACACACGUGCUACAAUGGACAAUACAAAGGGCAGCGAAACCGCGAGGUCAAGCAAAUCCCAUAAAGUUGUUCUCAGUUCGGAUUGUAGUCUGCAACUCGACUACAUGAAGCUGGAAUCGCUAGUAAUCGUAGAUCAGCAUGCUACGGUGAAUACGUUCCCGGGUCU